AUGGUCAGACUUUCUAAAGCAUCACAGGACCUAUCGAGAAACUCCAGGAUGGUUUCAUCUGGUUUGCUGCCAAAAGGGAAGACUCAGAGAAACCCAGAGAGAGGACGGGGGAGGGAUCCCGUUCUCCCUCCCUCCUCUGAACUGAGAGGGAAAGUUUUCGCACUGGCACUAGGAAUGUGCCUCUCUCCUUCAGCAGGAGGUGCCCUGCAUACCAGGGGACUCCCUUGCCUCUCAUCCACUCGCCCUGACCGAAACUCUGUGACACUCUGCCCUCGUCAGCACACAGGUAAGCAUGGAUGCACUUUUCAAGUGUCGUUAAACACAGAAACAGCACAGGAGAGACGGAUUCCUGAACAUUUCAGCUAACUGUGAUGUCAGGUCUGUUUUAUGUUCUAGUUCUCGGGGUUUUGGUUUUGUGAUUUAAUGGGAUUUAAAAGCUGCAGAAAAUUAACUCAUAUAAAUAAAGGUAGCAUCAGAUUUACAGGUUAUCCCCUCAUAUCUCCUCUGGUGCACCUGCAGAUCUCCUGAUCUGCUUUGUACUCCGGCAGGUAGUUUCACUUUAGGUUGAUCAUUAACUGCAGCCUCACCAGGUGGAGAAAACAUCUUUCAGAUAAAGAUCUGCACAAUAAACACUUGUGUGUGUGUGUGUGUGUGUGUGUGUGUGCGUGUGCGUGCGUGCGUGCGUGCGUCCGUCCGUCCGUCGAAACGCUGAAGCAUGUGGAGAAUGUGUGCAGAAAACUGAGCAAUCUGGUCGACACAUCGACAUGAAAACUUUCAUUUCCUCCAACUGAAUGUGGAAACAGCCAACGUUCUGCUGCGAUGAGCUCCAUCGAUACAAACCUUUCACCAUGGCAGGCUCACACAGUCAUUUGGAAUGACCAGUCACUCUCGGGAUGGAAAACAGGUUUUUAAGCUGAUUUCCUUCUGAUUCAGUCCAGUUUCAAAACUUUCAAAGGCCCGAGUAUGUCACACACAGAGGUUUGUGUACAAGGUUGUUUUAAUACUAUUUACAGAUCAUUUUUCCUAAAUUUCAACAGCUAAAGGCACCUGAUGCUGUCUGUAAGAUGUCUGUUUGCACCAGAUUAAUGCUGUUGGCAGCUGGUUGUAAAAUCCUAAAUCACAUAUAGAUUUGCCUGUGAUGGGCUGAAGAUGUCCAGGACGUCCCCUGUCUCUAGCCUGGAGACCGUUGCAGUUGGACACCAGCUCCCUGAGACCCUAGUCAUAUCAUAUCACACUACACUGAUAACAUUUUUGCAAUCAAAGAUGCAAAUGAUACGUGCCUAUUGGUGCAGGUGAGCCACUGGGUCCCUAAAUAAUAUCUAAAUAAUGUGGUUAUUAUUGUGAUUAACAUAAAGCUCAUCAUGUUUGUUGUUAUUUAGCUAUAAUGUUUGUUAUUAAGUUUAUUAUGUUUGUUUUUUGUCUUUAUUAUUGUUUCUUGCAAUGCUUGUUGUUGUUACGUUUGUUGUUAUAAUGCUCAUUAUGUUUAUUAGGUUUAUUAAAGUGUCAGUUAAUAAUGUAACAUUAUGUUUGUUUCUAUGUUUAUUAUGUUUGUUAUUGUGUUACUUAUGUUUAUUAUGUUUGUUACAAUGUUUCUUAUUGUUUUUAUUGUUAUGUUUCUUUUUAUGUUUAUUACUAUAUUCAUUAUGCCUAUUAUGUUUGCUAUUGUUGUUAUUAUUAUAAUAAUGUAUAGUAUUGUGUUUAUUGUUAUGUUUGUUAUUGUCUUCAUUAUUAUGUUCAUUGUUUAUUUUUAUUAAUAUUAUUUUAAUAUUAUGAUUAUUGUCCUUUUGUUAUUAUUAUUAUCAUUAUUAUUAUUAUUAUGUUUGUUUGUUUGUUUGUUAAAGAAAAAUACACAUAGAAAUAGUGUUCCCUCACCUGGAUGCAGGUCACCGGGGUCCCCCUUCUUAUGGGCUCACCACUCAUGGGAGGAACCAAAGAGGUUGGGUGCAGUGUGUGACAGGUGGUAGUCGAGGGCGGGGACCCUGGCAGUCUGAUCCUCGGCUACAGAAGCUGGCUCUUGGUACGUGGAAUGUCACCUCUCUGGCGGGGAUCGAGCCUGAGUUGGUGUGUGAUGUUGAGAGGUUCCGACUAGAUAUAGUCAGACUCACCUCGAUGAUUGGCUCUGGCUCCGGAACCAGUUUCCUUGAGAGGGGCUGGACACUCUGGAGUUGCUCCCACUGAGAGGAGCUGAGCAGGGGUGGGAAUACUAGUUACCUCCCAGAAAGAAAGAAAGAAAGAAAGAAAGAAAGAAAGAAAGAAAGAAAGAAAGAAAGAAAGAAAGAAAAUAAUCCUUUAUAUAGCGCUUCUCAAGAUAAAAAUCACGAGGUGCAUCACAAAAAAACUUUUCCAAAAAUUAUUAAAAAUACAUUCAAAAUUAGAGAAAAAAUUGUGAUAAAAAUAAUUAUGUAAGGAAAAGGAGGGAGAACAUGAAUAGGAAAGAAGGAAAUCAGUGGAUUGCGGAGAAAGAUGGGAUAAGUUUAAAUAGUGGAAUAAGGAGAGGGUGAUGAAAGUCACACCAAAGCCUGAACAGGUGAGUUUAAAGGAGACCACUGAGUCCACUGAUCUCAAGCUCAGGGGGAGAGAGGUCCAGAGUCUGGGGGCCACAGCAGCAAAUGAUCUGUCACCUUUGGUCUUUAGCCUGGUGCUGCACAACCAGUAGGCUUUGAUCACUGGACCUCAGGGACCUGCUGGGGGUGUAGGGACUGAGAAGAUCACCAAUGUAAGAUGGUGCUUGUCCAUGUAAGGCCCUAUAGACCAGAACCAGGAUCUUGAAAUGAACCCUGAAGUUGACUGGCAGCCAGUGAAGCUGGAGGAGAAGCGGGGUGAUGUGGGUGUGUUUGGAGGACUUGGUCAGAAGCCGAGCACAGGCAUUCUGAACCACCUGUAGACGGUUCAGGGAGGUUCUGCUCAGACACGUGAAAAGAGAGUUACAGUAGUCUAAGCGUGAGGAGAUGAAGGUGUGGAGAACUGUCU
ensembl:lncRNA